rnacentral:rRNA from 1 species
UACUCCUACGGGAGGCAGCAGUAGGGAAUCUUCCACAAUGGACGAAAGUCUGAUGGAGCAACGCCGCGUGAGUGAAGAAGGUUUUCGGAUCGUAAAACUCUGUUGUUGGAGAAGAACGUAUUUGAUAGUAACUGAUCAGGUAGUGACGGUAUCCAACCAGAAAGCCACGGCUAACUACGUGCCAGCAGCCGCGGUAAUAAA